UAUUACGUAAUGCAAUUUAAGAAAAAAAUGACAAUAACAGAAAAAAAAAUAUUGCGUGACUACACGAGUCAGUGGUAUAAAACUAAGGCCUUGUUUUUAUGUCUGAACCCCCUUUUUACCUUACGUCGGGUAUACUACAGGCAAGAAAUUUAGAUACUUGUAUCUGCCGUACAGUAGUUUAAUACAACCUCGGUAGUUCUUAGGUUUUGUAAAGAGUAGUUGUAAAGUAACUGUAAGGUAACUUAACCUCACAUACUAAAACUAGCUGAAGGCUCAAUUAAAUCACAAUAUAAAUUAAUAAACGUGUUUUAAACAACUUGAGGUACCUGAAGGGCGUACAAAUGCCUGAAGGGCGUAUAAGGUAUACAAAGUUCAAUAAUAAAGCAAAACUGGUCUUGUUGAUUCACCAAAUUGUGUUUGUACAGCGAGAGAUAACAGCAAGGAAGAAUAGACGGCACAGACAGACACUCCAAACCUGAUACGGUACGUAGAUGCUCCAAUGAUAUUGGUAUUAACGUUCUUUCUAAGAUGACGACUGCGGACAAGGUUGGAGACGAAGAAGACGGGACGAGACACAAAAGACUGCUCCAGAAACUCGGUCAAAGGUUACUCCGUGUAGUAGGACAUUAAGGUGGCUCUAGUUGAUCGACGUUUAACUUCCGGGCAGUCGAAACAAGAAGAAAAAGCAGAGAAUACGAGCUCUGAGAUGGAAGGCGAGCUUCACAUGUGGUUCAACCAACGAUUCUAAAAUCCGCCUAAGCGACAAAUUACCUCGAAUCCAAAAUCUCCACAAUGAGAAUAUAGAAAUUGGCUGCACUUGAUCGUUCUGAAGAAAAUCUGGUAAGAGAAUGGCUCAUCAAAACAGGAAAAGCUGAUAAGAGAUAAGAGAGAAGGUCAAGGAAUUUAGACAGGAAAUUGAAGAUUUCAGGAAGAGUAAAUUUGCAUAAAUAAAAUCACUAACAAUUGAAGAUCUUUACACUGGGCCGGUGGACGGUUGUCCUUGUUUACUCUGCUUGCACGUGGAAUGCCGGGACAAUUUCAGGAAUAUUUUGAUGCUGUCGAUUACUGUAUUUUCACAGUUUGCGGUUCACAUUUUAAUCCGGCUCGGAGGACCAAUGUUAGUAGUUUAAUGGACUUUGUUAUUAAGGUAACUUAACCCGACGCUAGU